rnacentral:rRNA from 1 species
GAUGAACGCUAGCGGCAGGCUUAAUACAUGCAAGUCGAGGGGCAGCAGUUUUGUAGCAAUACAGAAGCUGGCGACCGGCACACGGGUGCGGAACACGUACGCAACCUUCCUUUAACUGGAAGAUAGCCCACCGAAAGGUGGAUUAAUACUCCAUAAUUUAUUGAAGAGGCAUCUUUUUGAUAUUAAAGCUCCGGCGGUUAAAGAUGGGCGUGUGUCUGAUUAGGUAGUUGGCGGGGUAACGGCCCACAAAACCUUCGAUCAGUCGCUGAUGGUAGAGCAUGAUCAGCCGCACGGGGACUGGGACACGGGCCCGACUCCUACGGGAGGCAGCAGUAAGGAAAAUUGGUCAAUGGACGCAAGGCUGAUCCAGCCAUGCCGCGUUGAGGAUGAAGGCCCUCUGGGUUGUAAUCUUAUGUUCUUUGGGACGAAACCCCUGUUUCUACGGGGACUGACGGUACCAGAGGAAUAAGCACCGGCUAACUCCGUGCCAGCCGCCGCAGUAAUAC